rnacentral:rRNA from 1 species
UACAGAGGGGGCAAGCGUUGUUCGGAAUUACUGGGCGUAAAGGGCGCGUAGGCGGCCCGCUAAGUCGAACGUGAAAUCCCCAGGCUCAACCUGGGAACUGCGUCCGAUACUGGCAGGCUUGAAUCCGGGAGAGGGAUGUGGAAUUCCAGGUGUAGCGGUGAAAUGCGUAGAUAUCUGGAGGAACACCGGUGGCGAAGGCGGCGUUCUGGACUGCAACUGACACUGAGAAACGAAAGCCAGGGUAGCAAACGGG